rnacentral:lncRNA from 10 species
CAUAGGAGGGACAGGAGCCCUAGGCAAUAUGUAUUAAGUAGACUUUCAUGAACUCAACGAGAUACUGCAAGAGAUAAAAUAAUGAGAUGCUACGUCAUAGGAUCUGUCUCUGAGUCCACAUUGUGGGAGAAAAGACCAUUCUUCGGAAAGAUGCAGGGGAAGCCCCGUACCUCAAGGGAUUGAGAUGGGAGACUGAGGGAAUCCUGGGGUCUCUGCCCUCUCCCUCACUGGGAAACAAGCUCUGUUUCUUCAUGUGCUGGAGCCCUGCCUCUGUGGGUGCAGCCUGAGGACAAAGGCAGUGCUGCAUCCCCUGAUCCCCUGCCCCCUACAACCUCCUGCCCAGCCUCUUGGGUGCUCCUCAGCUUGUCGUCAGGGAGGAAGCAGCCAUCUCCUCCGAUGACUGACUUCAAGCCUCAACUCUCCCACAGCUUCUCAAAAGCCAAGGCUGAGGCCAAGUCCUAGCUGCUGCCUUGGGACAGGUCAAGGGCCUCCUGCAAUCUCAUGCACAAACUGGUACCCAUGAGCAUGUGGCCUAAGAGAUUUAUUGACCCCUCUCCAAGUCCUUGCCAGAGGAAUCCUGCACACCUAUAUCCACAAUGAAGGGAGCCAUAUCCCCAGCUGGGUAGCCAUAUCCCUAAUGAUAUCACUUAUGAAAGGUGACAAGUCGGCUGCUUUCCUGAAGAGCAGUGGUAUGGCCUCUCUGGAAUCUUCCAGAUGACCACAUCUGGCAAGAACCUUCUUUACAGAAAAAAUGAUGUGAGAUUAAAGGGAACGCAUAUAUCUCAAGUCCAAGGCUUUCAUUAUGCACAAGGAGAAACAGAGGCUCAGAGACAAGAGCUGACUGGUCCAAGGUGGUGUGGUUCUACCUGGCCUAGAAGCCAAGCUUCUGGACUCCGGAUCUUCAUAAUGCUUUUUUGAGUACCUGAAGAGAGAUACUCAUUGCAAAGACGAUGGGGUGGAACUAGAGGCUGGUCGGACCCACCAGGAUUGUAAGUGAAAUAUGAGGGUCCGGGGUGGGGGAGGUGGGGCUGGUGGCUGUCUUGUUCCCUAUAUUUUCCUUGAGUCUGGGCUAAAGCCAAGAAAAACACAAGCCUGGCUCCGCCUCCCACUAGGGGAAGUCAAAGUGAGGGGCUUUAAAAUUAAAGUCUGGAAAAUCUUCCACCUCA